AGCGAACGCUGGCGGCAGGCCUAACACAUGCAAGUCGAACGAUCCUUCGGGAUAGUGGCGGACGGGUGAGUAACACGUGGGAACGUGCCCUUUGGUUCGGAAUAACUCAGGGAAACUUGAGCUAAUACCGGAUGUGCCCUUCGGGGGAAAGAUUUAUCGCCAUUGGAGCGGCCCGCGUUGGAUUAGCUAGUUGGUGGGGUAAAGGCCCACCAAGGCUACGAUCGAUAGCUGGUCUGAGAGGAUGAUCAGCCACACUGGGACUGAGACACGGCCCAGACUCGUACGGGAGGCAGCAGUGGGGAAUCUUGCGCAAUGGGCGAAAGCCUGACGCAGCCAUGCCGCGUGAAUGAUGAAGGUCUUAGGAUUGUAAAAUUCUUUCACCGGGGACGAUAAUGACGGUACCCGGAGAAGAAGCCCCGGCUAACUUCGUGCCAGCCGCCGCGGUAAAAC
rnacentral:rRNA from 1 species